GAUGAACGCUGGCGGCGUGCCUAAUACAUGCAAGUAGAACGCUGACGGAAGGAGCUUGCUCUUUCCGGAUGAGUUGCGAACGGGUGAGUAACGCGUAGGUCACCUGCCUGUUAGCGGUGGAUAACUAUUGGAAACGAUAGCUAAUACCGCAUAACAGUAGAUGUUGCAUGAUAUCUACUUAAAAGGUGCAAUUGCACCACUACCAGAUGGACCUGCGUUGUAUUAGCUAGUUGGUGAGGUAACGGCUCACCAAGGCGACGAUACAUAGCCUACCUGAGAGGGUGAAUGGCCAAACUGGGACUGGGAAAAGGCCCAGACUCCUAAGGGAGGGAGCAGGAGGGGAAUAUUGGAAAUGGACGGAAGGCUGAACGAGCAAAGACGGGGGAGGGAAGAAGGUUUUCGGAGCGUAAAGGUCUGUUGUAAGAGAAGAAAGAGCGGGAGAGUGGAAAGUUCACGUUGUGACGGUAUCUUAACAGAAAGGAACGGCUAACUACGUG
rnacentral:rRNA from 1 species